rnacentral:rRNA from 1 species
UACAGAGGGUGCAAGCGUUAAUCGGAAUUACUGGGCGUAAAGCGCGCGUAGGCGGCUGUCUAAGUCGGGUGUGAAAGCCCCGGGCUCAACCUGGGAACUGCAUUCGAUACUGGACGGCUAGAGUAUGAGAGAGGGAGGUAGAAUUCCACGUGUAGCAGUGAAAUGCGUAGAUAUGCGGAGGAACACCGAUGGCGAAGGCAAUCCCCUGGGCCUGCACUGACGCUCAUGCACGAAAGCGUGGGGAGCAAACAGG